CCUACGGGAGGCAGCAGUGGGGGAUAUUGCACAAUGGGGGGAACCCUGAUGCAGCGACGCCGCGUGGGUGAAGAAGCGCCCCGGCGCGUAAAGCCCUGUCAGCAGGGAAGAAAAUGACGGUACCUGAAGAAGAAGCCCCGGCUAACUACGUGCCAGCAGCCGCGGGAAUACGUAGGGGACAAGCGUUAUCCGGAUUUACUGGGUGUAAAGGGGGCGCAGACGGCGAUGCAAGCCAGGAGUGAAAGCCCGGGGCCCAACCCCGGGACUGCUCUUGGAACUGCGUGGCUGGAGUGCAGGAGGGGCAGGCGGAAUGCCUGGUGUAGCGGUGAAAUGCGUAGAUAUCAGGAGGAACACCGGUGGCGAAGGCGGCCUGCUGGACUGCAACUGACGUUGAGGCCCGAAAGCGUGGGGAGCAAACAGGAUUAGAUACCCUGGUAGUC
rnacentral:rRNA from 1 species